rnacentral:misc_RNA from 1 species
GAUGAAGAACGUAGCGAAAUGCGAUACUUGGUGUGAAUUGCAGAAUCCCGUGAACCAUCGAGUCUUUGAACGCAAGUUGCGCCCGAAGCCACUAGGCCGAGGGCACGCCUGCCUGGGCGUCACACGCCGUUGCCCCCCCAUCUACUCCUUCGGGAUUGCGGGGGGGCGGAUGAUGGCCUCCCGUGCGCCUAGCCGCGCGGUUGGCAUAAAUACCAAGUCCUUGGCGACGCACGCCACGACAAUCGGUGGUUGCGAAACCUCGGUUGCCCGUCGUGUGCGUUCGUCGCGCAUCGAGGGCUCGAAAAAAUGCUCGGCUCCGGCUGGGCUUUCAACGCGACCCCAGGUCAGGCGGGGUUACCCGCUGAAUUUAAGCAUAUCAAUAAGCGGAGGA